rnacentral:ncRNA from 2 species
UACGGAGGGUGCAAGCGUUAUCCGGAUUCACUGGGUUUAAAGGGUGUGUAGGCGGAUAUUUAAGUCAGUGGUGAAAUCUCCGGGCUCAACCCGGAAACUGCCAUUGAUACUAUUUAUCUUGAAUUUUGUUGAGGUAGGCGGAAUACAUCAUGUAGCGGUGAAAUGCUUAGAGAUGAUGUAGAACACCGAUUGCGAAGGCAGCUUACUAAACAGAUAUUGACGCUGAGGCACGAAAGCGUGGGGAUCAAACAGG